UCAAAUACCUGACAGGGGAGAUACCAUGAUCACUAAGGUAGUUUUCCCAGGGCGAGGCUUAUCCAUUGCACUCCUGAUGUGCUGAUCCCUGCAAUUUCCCCAAAUGUGGGGAACUUGACUGCUAAAGA
rnacentral:snRNA from 1 species